rnacentral:misc_RNA from 1 species
ACAAAAGAAAGCAAGUAUAGAGGCCACCGUCCUGCAUGUUGCAAGGCUCAACUGGAGUAAAUUUCUUCCAUUGCCAGCAACCCCAACCCCGCACGUUUCCCUUCCUUUUUCUCUUUCUCCAUAUAUCUACUACGUGUAAUGCUUGUGUCUCCUAAGCACCUACAGUAUUGGCUUCCAACUGAGUUUUUCUUUUACAGAGUAAAAAGAGCUACCAUGGACAAACAGAACGCCUGCAACACUGAUUUCAAAUCCAAUUUCUGCUUCCCCGAUGAGUUCCCUUACGAGUUUGGUUCCUCUUUUGAUCUAAGCUCCCCGGUUGAGUCUGUUGUAUGUCGUACCGAGACGGAUAGUAGUGAUGAUGAUGGUUUCCUAGCUGGCUUGACUCGGUGCCUGACUCAGCAACUUGUUGAGCCUAAUGAGAAAAAGUGGGUCACGGCCAGGUCACCUGAAUCGACACUUAGUGGAAUCGGAAGUUGGUCCCUAUCCAGCAACGGCAGCUCAAACUGUGAAAUUUCCCCCCCAGCGACGCCUUUUGGGACCAAAAGUGAUCCAUGGGACCUGAUAUUUGCAGCUGGUGAUCCUGUUUCGAGGUUAAAGGUGAGUAGUGAAGGCAACAGGAACAGUAACUAUCAAGAGAGGGGAUUGCAGGGUCCUGCAAGAAGCCAACGUCCAGAUACAGAUACUGCAGGAAAAAAUCAGAAUAAUGGUGUUUCGCUGUUGAAUCAGUAUCAAGUGAAGCAAGAACAGCGCCCUUCAGUUUGGGGAUGGCAGCAAAUGAAGGGAAGCUGGCAAGAUGAGCUCCAGCCCCACCAGCAGCUUCAGCAGCAACACCAAAUCCAGAGCAGCGGGAGAAGUGUGCGUCCUCUUGAUCUGCCUCGGUCUGCUUGGCCUCCUCUUCAAGU